AAAAGAAAAGGGGGGGGAAGGUUUGUCAGUCAAAGAAAAAUAAUCUUUGAAAGUUAGGACACAUUACAAACAUAACCUAUCUGUAUAUUGAGACUAGUAGUCAUGAGUAAAUAAAUAUACAGAUAUACAACAGCCAAACUUAAAAGAAACUUUCUUUAGGGUGUUGGAUGAGUGGUAUGUAAGGUAGGAUGUCUGAGGAGGGGGUUGUGUGCCAAGUCGAGGGACCCCUGUCCUUGAGGUCCACUCUGCUGCCUGUAGGUUGUUAAAACUUUGAGCAAUAAAAGUUGGAGUGCUGGCCUCCCUUGUUAUAUGUGUGUGUUUAAGUGUGUCUGUGUGUGUGGGGUCACGAACCACCCUUUGAGGCCUAGGCCAAUGUGCCUCUCGUACCUGGGUAGGCCUUGUCUCAGGCCACCUGGAAUUUAAGGUUUGUGAUAUGUGCAUGUGUGAUCCUACAUAUCCCCCCUUUCGGCUGAUUAUGGCAUUGCCAUCAUUCAGGUGACUGAUGUUGAAACAGGAUCAUCCACAUGCGACGAGGCACAUGAAACAUCUCGUUCAACACUCUGGGUGGUAUAGUUACAGGAUGGAUGGGAGACGAGUGCAGGGGCUGGAGCCUGUCUCCUGGCACAGCAAGGAGUGGUGAACCCAAUGCAGCUCCCAGCAGGGCGUCCAGGAACCUCUUGGGCUGUCGAUUGGACUCAGCUUGGUUCACGGUCGUUGGGUAACUGCUCCAACAUGUGGGUAGUGUCCACGGCAGCAUGAUGCAUGGCAUCCUGGGUCCAUCAGACACCUGUCCCACUAGUUUGGGGUCUCUCAUGGAGGUAAUAGGCUCGGUCGAUAUCGUCAGACGAAUACUCGCUGUAUGUGGGUACAACAGUUAGUAAUCAAGAGACUGGGCUGUUCCCGGCAGACAAUGCCUGAUGGAGGCCCAAGGGAUGCCCUCUUGGACUGGGGCAUCACCCCUCCUGGCUGAGUAAGGCUAGUAGCUGGGCAGCGUCAUCCUAGUGGUAAGGGGAUAGAAAAUGAGGACCGAAUUAGGAUUGAGGGAGUGAGUCAAGACUGAAUGUUGUGUACGCUGAUGCAAAGGGAACAAAGAGGAGAAAGUAUAGUGGGCAACAAUUCUUGGCCAGAGAGCAAUUGUAAGGAAACAAACAGGACAAAGAAAAGUGCAGAACCGAAUCCUCUUCAGUAAUUUCCCGGACACGCGUGAGCCACCCCAGGUCCUUACCAAAAACAACAACCAAAUAAAAUGAGAAGUUAUCAAAACAAACAAACAGAUAAACAAAACCUCAAGAUCACCCAGAUAUCAGUAGUCAAGCUCACCACCUUGGUCUACCCUAUCUGUGACCUUCUUUCCUUCCCUUUCUCUUUGUUCUUCCCUCUUGGGGGUUUUGGUGAGAUUUCAGUUGGAAAAGUUGUCCUCCUUUUUGGUUGGAAUGUGGCUUAUUCCAAGCUGCUGGCUUCGUCUGGAGUGCUGUCCAGAGAAGACUGGUUGGUGGCUGUUUCAGGCUUUCUCUGGGCUUUGUACUUCUUGAUUUGAUUCCGAUGAAAACACUGGAGGCAUGUUUCUUGGGUGUCUCUGUUGGUUCUGAUUCGAUAAGCCACAGGUGACAGUUUGUCCAUGAUAUCAUAUGGUCCUGACUAGCGUGGUAGAAGCUUCCUGGAGAGUCUUUGUGUUGAGGUUGGUUGCCUGAAACUAUAGUACCAGACUUUGUCUCCCACUUGGAGUUCGUCUUGUGAGGUUUGGUUCACCACCAAAAAUGACAUACAGCCAGCGGCAAUGAUUGAAAAUGACUAUCCAUCCAUCCAUUUUCCAAACCGCUUAUCCUACUGGGUUGCGGGGGGUCCGGAGCCUAUCCCGGAAGCAAUGGGCACGAGGCAGGGAACAACCCAGGAUGGGGGACCAGUCCAUCGCAGGGCACACUCACACACCAUUCACUCUCAUAUGCACACCUACGGGCAAUUUAGUGACUCCAAUUAGGCUCAGCAUGUUUUUGGACUGUGGGGGGAAACUGGAGUACCCGGAGAAAACCCCACGACGACAUGGGGAGAACGUGCAAACUCCACACACAUGUGACCCAGGUGGAGACUCGAACCCGGGUCCCAGAGGUGUGAGGCAACAGUGCUAACCACUGCACCACCAUGCUGCCCCCGAAAAUGACUAAUUGUUGAAAAAGGAAGCUAUCAUGACUUUUGCAGAUCAGGUUAGUCAACUUAAAGUCCAGUGCAUCACUGGCGUGAAAAAGACAUAAAUCACUGCACAAAAUGACAUGGUAGCUGAUAACCUUACAAAGAUUCACUUCUUUCAGCAAAAAGGAAACUAUGGUUUCUGUGACCUAAGAGAUAAAAUCACUGGAUGGCUGCAAAAAUCGGCUCGUCUGAUAUUUCCCUGGUUCCUCCAGCUGCACACUGAAGUGAGGGCUACGAGAGAAAACAACAUGAGCCAAUGUCUGAUGUGUCAACAUUGGAGGCUGGUGGUGCUGGUGUGAUUGUGAAGAAAGAAAAAAGCGGGGUGGUGCAGGGAGAUGUCCUUGAAAUACUGGAAAAAUUCAGGGAAAAUGGGAGUGUGAGCAGGUAUGAACUUUGAAAGCAUUUUUUUAUCAGAAAAUUACCAAUCCUAUAAGAUGUAAAUCAAUAGUACCCCAAAUAUGAUUAAUGCAGCCCAAUGCCCUGGCCUGCCCAGUCACUAGAUACCAGUCUACCUGAAAACCUUUGAUAUGCAUUGGAGCAAGAAGACACUCUCCACCACUUAUGCUUGUGCAAAUAAUGAAUCCUCUGAUGAGGAGUUGCUUGUUGGGUAUAUUACAGAUUCUAGUACUUUUGGUAGGGGGUGUGGCAAAAAGACUAGAAAAAUCCUUACAUGCGCUGGACAGCAACCACAAUAGCCAUGGGAGCAGUUAAAGCUUUAAGAUGGCCGAUAGGAAAGAAGACUACUGCAUUAAGCUCUGGUAAGAAACCCACUUCUUUUGUAUUGCAAUUUCAUUUCUGAUGUCACAUGUUCAGCAUUCCAAUAUCAUUCCCACCUCACAUUAGCUAUAUAAAGCCAAACAGCAGACAGCCAGCUCAAAAUGUUUAUUAGACCUUUUCAGUUUGAUACAUGGACGUCAGUCACUUGACAGGGCACUACAAGGUAACACCACAGCUGUAAUCCACACCAGAUGCAACCAAAGCAUAGAUUACUAUAGUAAAUUAAAUUAUCAAGAGCUUUUCAACUUUAACAUCAAGUUACAAUUAAGCCAGGUCUGGUUGCAGAAUGCAUUGAGUUAAUCUUUAACUGCUUUUGCUCAAAGUGUGCUUGUCAAACAGGUAUUCAGCCAUCCUGUUAUUGCCUGCAUCCAUCUUUGUGAGGUUGGUGACGUGGUCACCAAGUUUCUUGAUGGCCUCAACCUGCUCAUUCAGGUAGUGAGUUUCCA